UUAGGUCUUGGCUCAUCUACUAACCAAAUGACUUCUGAGCUGAAACAACAUCUGAAGAAUUCUAGGCCCAUAUUGUGAGGUCACUUAGAACUCAGAACUCAAAUGACAUCAUUCCCUCAGUGGGGACCAAAUGGCAAAAGGUUUGGUGUUCAAGCCCUUAUCGAGUAUUGCUUUAUGACACCACUGAGAUUUAUAGUUCAUUAAAAAAAAAAAACUCGUGGAAAUCAAAGGAAUGAUGGCUGCAGUUUCAAUUAUACACGCACAUCCUUCUACUAGAAGAGGAAGAGCUCUCUCCAGAAGGGAGAAUAUUAAUGAGCUUCACUGUGGGCCCAGUGUGAGGCAGUGCAAAGCAAAGCAUAACACAUUCUGUUAACGGAGGGGACCUUGUUUACAGUUCCAGUGGUGCAAGAGCGUUCAUGCUACCGUCGGAGUAUUUUAAUAAGUUUUAAAAUCUUCAUGGAUUCAUUUAUAUUUAUUUAAAAUACAUCUACAUUUAGGGGAAUAAGCCACAUUAAAGCCGAAUUCUGUGUGAA